rnacentral:rRNA from 1 species
CCUACGGGAGGCAGCAGUAGGGAAUCUUCCGCAAUGGACGAAAGUCUGACGGAGCAACGCCGCGUGAGUGAUGAAGGCUUUCGGGUCGUAAAACUCUGUUGUUAGGGAAGAACAAGUGCUAGUUGAAUAAGCUGGCACCUUGACGGUACCUAACCAGAAAGCCACGGCUAACUACGUGCCAGCAGCCGCGGUAAUACGUAGGUGGCAAGCGUUAUCCGGAAUUAUUGGGCGUAAGGCGCGCGCAGGUGGUUUCUUAAGUCUGAUGUGAAAGCCCACGGCUCAACCGUGGAGGGUCAUUGGAAACUGGGAGACUUGAGUGCAGAAGAGGAAAGUGGAAUUCCAUGUGUAGCGGUGAAAUGCGUAGAGAUAUGGAGGAACACCAGUGGCGAAGGCGACUUUCUGGUCUGUAACUGACACUGAGGCGCGAAAGCGUGGGGAGCAAACAGGAUUAGAUACCCUGGUAGUCCACGCCGUAAACGAUGAGUGCUAAGUGUUAGAGGGUUUCCGCCCUUUAGUGCUGAAGUUAACGCAUUAAGCACUCCGCCUGGGGAGUACGGCCGCAAGGCUGAAACUCAAAGGAAUU